rnacentral:rRNA from 1 species
CAAUAGCGUAUAUUUAAGUUGUUGCAGUUAAAAAGCUCGUAGUUGGAUUUCGGAUUGGAUUUGCCGGUCCGUCGUUACGAUGUGCACUGGCCAGUCCUAUCUUGUUGUCGGGGACUAGCUCCUUGGAUUCACUUCCUGGGACUAGGAGCUGACGAGGUUACUUUGAGUAAAUUAGAGUGUUCAAAGCAAGCCUACGCUCUGAAUACAUUAGCAUGGAAUAACACGAUAGGACUCUGGCUUAUCUUGUUGGUCUGUGAGACCAGAGUAAUGAUUAAGAGGGACAGUCGGGGACAUUCGUAUUUCAUUGUCAGAGGUGAAAUUCUUGGAUUUAUGAAAGACGAACUUCUGCGAAAGCAUUUGUCAAGGAUGUUUUCAUUAA